GUGUCAGCCGCCGCGGUAAUACGUAGGGUGCGAGCGUUAAUCGGAAUUACUGGGCGUAAAGCGUGCGCAGGCGGUUUUGUAAGUCAGAUGUGAAAUCCCCGAGCUCAACUUGGGAACUGCGUUUGAAACUACAAGGCUAGAGUAUGGUAGAGGGGGGUAGAAUUCCACGUGUAGCAGUGAAAUGCGUAGAGAUGUGGAGGAAUACCGAUGGCGAAGGCAGCCCCCUGGGAUAACACUGACGCUCAUGCACGAAGCGUGGGGAGCAGACAGGAUUAGAAACCCUAGUAGUCC
rnacentral:rRNA from 1 species